UCCUAACCAAACUCCGAAUACCGAGGAGUACUAGAUGGCAGACACACGGCGAAUGCUAACGUCCGUCGUGAAGAGGGAAACAACCCUGACCUCCAGCUAAGGCCCCUAAUUCAUGGCUAAGUGGGAAAGCAGGUGAGACGACCAAAACAACCAGGAGGUUGGCUUAGAAGCAGCCAUCCUUUAAAGAUAGCGUAACAGCUCACUGGUCUAAAUAAGUUGUCUUGCGGCGAAGAUGUAACGGGGCUCAAGCCAUGAGCCGAAGCUGAGGAUGCACUAGUUGCAUGG
rnacentral:rRNA from 1 species